rnacentral:rRNA from 1 species
AGUGAACGCUGGCGGUAGGCCUAACACAUGCAAGUCGAACGGCAGCACAGUAAGAGCUUGCUCUUACGGGUGGCGAGUGGCGGACGGGUGAGGAAUACAUCGGAAUCUACUUUUUCGUGGGGGAUAACGUAGGGAAACUUACGCUAAUACCGCAUACGACCUACGGGUGAAAGCAGGGGAUCUUCGGACCUUGCGCGAUUGAAUGAGCCGAUGUCGGAUUAGCUAGUUGGCGGGGUAAAGGCCCACCAAGGCGACGAUCCGUAGCCGGUCUGAGAGGAUGAUCAGCCCCACUGGAAAUGAGACACGGGCCAGACUCCUACGGGAGGCAGGAGUGGGGAAUAUUGGACAAUGGGCGCAAGCCUGAUCCAGCCAUACCGCGUGGGUGAAGAAGGCCUUCGGGUUGUAAAGCCCUUUUGUUGGGAAAGAAAAGCAGCAGGUUAAUACCCCGCUGUUCUGACGGUACCCAAAGAAUAAGCACCGGCUAACUUCGUG